CCCUUAGAUGUUCUGGGCCGCACGCGCGCUACACUGAUGCAUUCAACGAGUUUCUUCCUGGUCCGAGAGGAAUGGGUAACCUUUUGAAAGUGCAUCGUGAUAGGGAUAGACUAUUGCAAUUAUUGGUCUUCCACGAGGAAUUCCUAGUAGACGUAGUUCAUCAGACUGCAUCGAUUACGUCCCUGCCCUUUGUACACACCGCCCGUCGCUCCUACCGAUUGAAUGCUCAGGUGAGCCAUUCGGACUUUCAUCAUGCUGGUUUCCAGUUUUGAUGAAGGAAAGUCUUGCGAACCUUAUCAUUUAGAGGAAGGAGAAGUCGUAACA
rnacentral:rRNA from 1 species